AACGAAGGAGGCAAGCGUUAUCAGGAUUUACUGGGCGUAAAGCGCGUGCAGGCGGAGGAUUAAGUCGGGCGUGAAAGCGCCCAGCUCAACUGGGCGAGGUCGGGCGAGACUGGUUCACUAGAGACAGACAGAGGCGAGUAGAAUUCCGGGUGUAGUGGUGAAAUGCGUAGAGAUCCGGAGGAAUACCAGUGGCGAAGGCGGCUCGCUGGGUCUGUUCUGACGCUCAGACGCGACAGCAUGGGGAGCGCACGGG
rnacentral:rRNA from 1 species